AGAAAGUGGGUUGUAAGCAUCUACAGCCUCAAAUGCUCCCGAAUCUAUAGGUAAGGUUGGAAAUCACUGGAGGUGUUUACCAUGCUUAUCCCAUUAAAUGCGUUUAAAGAAUUCAGGAAGGCUAAGAGAGACACAGACAGGUUAUUAUCAGAAACACACCUUGAGAAACCUCGAGGAUUCUUUAAAACAGCAUCAAACUGCCCACCUGUAAAAACUUAAGAGGUAACAAAGAAUCUGAGCAAGAGGGGAGUCCUGAAGAGUGGCAGGACCGGUCCCACCCCAGGUUGUCCAUAACCGAGUUGAAGAAGAACAAGAUUUUCCGUGAGAAUCCCCAAGCCUUUAAUCCCUAAGGGUACAAAGGAACUUCCUGAGAGCGAACAGAAAGGUCAUCUCCUCUGGGAGCAACCACCCACUGAUCCUCCAUCUCUUUUGUUCCAAAGUCUGAAGUGACGUGGCGCUGUGCAGACCAGUGCUCUCAACGAUUUCCCUCAGACCCCGGUUCACCUGGCUUCACCCCCUGAACAUCAUUCCAGCUGAGCAGACAGCAGUGGCUACUGUGGGUGAGGGCAGGCAAACGCACGCGUCUUGGAAUUACAGACGCAGUACACACCAUUGACCUAGACUUUGAGGGCAGACUUUAGAGACCAUGAAGCUGACCUUCCUGGGUAAGGGGUGAGAGACCCUAAGUCUGGGAGAAAGAAUGCCGAAACAAAAAGAUCGAUGGCUCCUAAGAUGACGAAGUGGUCAAGGGCUCCAGUCCUCCAUGUGCAAGAUGGCUGUAAUACAGCACUCCCCCCACCCCCCAACCCCGGGAAGCUGUGUUGAGGAUUAAAUGAGGCAUUGUAAAGAAAGAACUCAGCCCAGGAUGCAGCACUUAAGCUGAUGCUAAAUCAUCAUUAUCAUAACAAUCCUAUUACGAUCUGAAGCCUAUUUAAACAAAAAUGUUUCCUCCCAGUUCUGCCUACUCUAAAUAAACCCUUCCUUCUAGAGC
rnacentral:lncRNA from 1 species